UACAGAGGGGGCGAGCGUUGUUCGGAAUUACUGGGCGUAAAGGGCGCGUAGGCGGCCUGCUAAGUCAUACGUGAAAUCCCUCGGCUCAACCGAGGAACUGCGUCUGAUACUGGUUGGCUUGAAUUCGGGAGAGGGAUGCGGAAUUCCAGGUGUAGCGGUGAAAUGCGUAGAUAUCUGGAGGAACACCGGUGGCGAAGGCGGCAUCCUGGACCAUUACUGACACUGAAAAGCGAAAGCCAGGGGAGCAAACGGG
rnacentral:rRNA from 1 species